rnacentral:tRNA from 1 species
UGGGGGAUAGUUUAACGGUAGAACUUCCGACUCUGACUCGGACAGUCUUGGUUCGAAUCCAGGUCCCCCAA